rnacentral:misc_RNA from 1 species
UUGGAGCGUGCCGGCCCCUUCUGGGUUUCCGGCUCCUCUUCAAAUGCAUCAGUGGAACCAUCGGACCAGCUCCAGCGUGAUAAUUAUCUACGUUGCCGCCGCGAAGUGAACGGAUCCGCUUACAACCGUCGCAUGACAGGGGUUCGCCUCUAUAAUGACAAUUUGACCUCAAAUCAGGUAGGAUUACCCGCUGAACUUAA